CCUACGGGAGGCAGCAGUGAGGAAUAUUGGUCAAUGGCCGGAAGGCUGAACCAGCCAAGUCGCGUGAGGGACGACUGCCCUAUGGGUUGUAAACCUCUUUUAUAAGGGAAGAAUAAAUGCUACGUGUAGCAUGAUGCCUGUACCUUAUGAAUAAGCAUCGGCUAACUCCGUGCCAGCAGCCGCGGUAAUACGGAGGAUGCGAGCGUUAUCCGGAUUUAUUGGGUUUAAAGGGUGCGCAGGCGGCCUGUUAAGUCAGCGGUAAAAGCCCGGGGCUCAACCCCGGCGAGCCGUUGAAACUGGCGGGCUGGAGUUGGAGAGAAGUACGCGGAAUGCGCGGUGUAGCGGUGAAAUGCUUAGAUAUCGCGCAGAACCCCGAUUGCGAAGGCAGCGUACCGGCUCCACACUGACGCUGAGGCACGAAAGCGUGGGUAUCGAACAGGAUUAGAUACCCCUGUAGUC
rnacentral:rRNA from 1 species